rnacentral:tRNA from 1 species
ACCGGGAUGGCCGAGUGGUUAAGGCGUUGGACUUAAGAUCCAAUGGGCUAGUGCCCGCGUGGGUUCGAACCCCACUCUCGGUACCA